CCCAAGCCAAAAGAGUCGAGGCCAAGGGAAAAUCAGCAAGCCUCAGCUGAAGCAGGCGGUCCUUUGAACGUUGAUCGGAAGAUAUCUCAGUUAGAAAGCAUGAAUAACAAUCGUCUUAAAGAUGAUGAGCAAAAGUUCGGUCGCUCUACCCAUAACAAGCAGCGACUAGUUGAGCAAAAGGCCGAUACAUCUCUAAUGGAAUUAUUACAGGAGCAACAUACUGAGGUAUGUAAUAAACUUGGUAUUGGUCUUCAAGAAUAUGACUUAGAAAAGGCGCGGCUUAAUGAGCUUCUCGAUGCAGAGGUAAAUGGAAGGCCUAGUCAAGUUGGAUAACUUUUAUGCUUACCUUUCAUUGUUGAACAGUAUAGUGCCUCGGAAACAGUGUUGAUUGAUGUGGUUGGCAGAGAGAGCUUACUCGAACGUAUGAGCCUCGACGCAGGUUAAAGAUCAAGCUAUUCAGGUAAGCACUCAAGAACUGGAAGAUAUGACGGCUCUCACUCAACAUGGACAAAAGGCAGUUCCUGAAGAGACAAAUCAAGCUAUUGAGUAGGAAGACGUUGGACUAAUAGGUCGAAGGAAGGGUGGUAAUUGCUCAAAUCGGCUAUGCAAUAUGCCCGAUAAGGUUCUUCUUCAGAUCCUGUCUUUCCUCCCAUUGAAGGAUGCGGUGAGGACCAGCAUAUUAUCUAAAAGGUGGGGUCACUUGGGGGCCUUGGUUCCUGAUCUUCACUUCACAGAAUCUGACUUUCCUACUAAGCCGCUCUUCCUGGAUGCUCUUCGAGGCGGAUCUCCUAUAAGAGCCUUUUUCUAUCUUUUGUGGCGUAGUUGGUCCUGUAUCCUGCAUCGGGAAAUUGAUUACUUCUUCUGUGACAUGCUGUGGUGUAGAGAAUCUCUCUCUAUUCCUCUAUAACUCUGCAGGGGCUUAUAAAUUACCUUCCUCCAUAUUCCAGUGUGGAACUUAAGAAAUGCUCCACGUGAAAUCUCGCUGCAUCCUCGAACUCCCUUCUUCAAUUUGUCUUUCGAACCUCAAGGUCUUGAUUCUUGAUGAGGUCAUAUUUGAGGAUAAAGAUUCAGUAGAGAAGUUGUUUUCCUGUCCGUUACUUGAAAAGUUAGAAAUCAUGAACUGAAACUCGAAAGCGUACAUGUUUCUGCCCCCAGGCUUCAACAUUUGUUAGUCUGCAACUACGAUGGCAAAGGAUUUUCAUAUGACCUUCAAUUGCACAUCAAUGGAGCUUCUCUCAAGUCCUUCGUCUGUAACAUUGGCUACGCCAACCAACAAUGCAUAUUCGGGGAGACCACUCAUCUAGUUGAGGCCAAUGUAGGGCUUCAACCAUGUCAUGGGAAAGAAAAUUUAUUUGGGAUCUAUGGUUAUAUUUCCUGUCAGUACUCUCCAACUUGAAGGAAUUAUCUCUAGAUUACGAACUUAUCGAGGUAUGCUUACUUUCCGACAUUUCCAUCUUUCAACUGUGAUUUUAUUUUUUAUUCACCUUUUUGUUCCAUCCUUAAGAACUUGCCGAAAGGGAUGAGGUUCCUCUGUUCAGUAAUACGAUAAAGUUAACAGUGGAUUGGAGACAUUCAUCCUCACUCGUUAAGGGCCUUUGGGCGAUCUUCAGAACGUCUCCUCGUCUUCAAACUUUGUGUUUUUAUUGGGAAUUCGGCGACUGGAGCGUGGAGAAUGCAACAGAUGGAGAGCUAGGCCCAGUGCUUUCAUGUUUCCUGACAGAGCUCAAAGAGAUCUCUAUCAGGUUUUUAGGUGAAUAUCAUCAGGAAGAGAUUUUCUUGGUAGGAGCUUUCCUUGGGACGGCAGCAGCUUUAGAAGAAGUGGCCAUCGCAUUUAACGAGAACGAACUGGACAUCAAAAAAUAUCGUAGCUCUACUGGAAGAUUUAAGGAAGUUCCCCAUGGGGUCAAAAAAUGUUCGAAUCUUGUUGGAACCACUACCUCGGCGUUAUUAUGGAGGAUCCAUCUCAGGAAAUUGAAGGGGGCAGUUCAUCUUCUACUCUUGAACUUCUGUGUUCUCUCUCUUUUUUCCUUGUUUUCUUGGAUUAUAUAUUUUGGUGACAUUGAUGUGAUUUUGCUCUCUUAAAGGCAGGACUGAGAUAAUUUUAUUAAGCAAGAAAUGCUCCGAUAU